rnacentral:rRNA from 1 species
CUUGACAUCCCGAUGCUAGUUCUAGAGAUGAAGUACUUCGGUACAUCGGUGACAGGUGGUGCAUGGUUGUCGUCAGCUCGUGUCGUGAGAUUGUUGGGUUAAGUCCCGCAACGAGCGCAACCCCUAUUGUUAGUUGCCAUCAUUCAGUUGGGCACUCUAGCGAGACUGCCGGUAAUAACCGGAGAAGUGGGAUGACGUCAAAUCAUCAUGCCCCUUAUGACCUGGGCUACACACGUGCUACAAUGGUUGGUACAACGAGUUGCGAGUCGGUGACGGCGAGCUAAUACUCCUUAAAGCCAAUCUCAGUUCGGAUUGUAGGCUGCAACUCGCCUACAUGAAGUCGGAAUCGCUAGUAAUCGCGGAUCAGCACGCCGCGGUGAAUACGUUCCCGGGCCUU